rnacentral:rRNA from 1 species
AGAGUUUGAUCCUGGCUCAGGGUUAACGUUGGCGGCGUGCCUAACACAUGCAAGUCGAACGGUUCUAAGCGCGAGCUUAGGAUAGUGGCGAACGGGUGAGUAAAAGGUAGGAAUCUACCCCUUGGACGGAGAUAGCUACUGGAAACGGUAGGUAAACUUCGAUAAGCCCGAGAGGGGAAAGUGGUGAGACAGCCGAGGGAUGAGCCUACUCUCCAUCAGGUAGUUGGUGAGAUAAAAGCUUACCAAGCCGAUGACGGAUAACCGGUGUGAGAGCAUGAACGGUCACAAGGGCACUGAGAGACGGGCCCUACUCCUACGGGAGGCAGCAGUGGGGAAUCUUGGACAAUGGGCGAAAGCCUGAUCCAGCGACGCCGCGUGGAGGAAGAAGUCCUUCGGGAUGUAAACUUCUGAACUAGCCGAAUAAAAGGCCUGUGGACACACAGGAGAAGAAAGUAGGCUAGGAAAAGUCCCGGCUAACUACGUGCCAGCAGCCGCGGUAAU